AUUUAAGCUCAGGCUGCAGCAGGUGACCUGGGCUGUCUCUGGCUAACCCUCUCCCUUCUUCCCUCCCUGAAGGUGUCAGAUGCUAUCAACAUAGAGCACUUCCAACUCCUACACCAAGAGGAAAAAGAAAAACUAAGAAAACAAUGCUAUCAGCCACAGGUUAAGAAAAUAAGCAGAACUCCCUCAAGCAGCUGGACUUUCUGCUUCUCCCUUUCUGGCUUUGAAACCAGUCCAGGGUCCUGAAGUGGUAAGGAGAGAGCAUGGCUUGUCUCCCAAGGCAGUGCUACCACCACAGAGAUGUCCAGAAGCGUGGCCAGGGCCACAGAUGCUCUUUCAAGCAGCUCAGGAAGACGGUGGAACAGGCAUCACAGUUUUAGCUGUUCAAGGUCCCUUCCAACCCAAACCAUUCCGUGAUUCUAUGAUCAAAUCAACAUAUGAAGAUUAAGCUGUUAUGUCCCAUGCAAAAACAAGGCUUUGGUUCUCAGUAGUGACAGACGCUGGCCAAGCCAAGAUGAAAGAUGUCGGCAGUCAAACCAUGCCAGUAACUAC